rnacentral:rRNA from 1 species
UGACCGCUGGCGGCGUGCCUACUACAUGCAAGUCGAGCGAACAGACGCGGAGCUUGCUCCUCUGACGUUAGCGGCGGACGGGUGAGUAACACGUGGAUAACCUACCUAUAAGACUGGGAUAACUUCGGGAAACCGGAGCUACUACCGGAUAAUAUAUUGAACCGCAUGGUUCAAUAGUGAAAGACGGUUUUGCUGUCACUUAUAGAUGGAUCCGCGCCGCAUUAGCUAGUUGGUAAGGUAACGGCUUACCAAGGCAACGAUGCGUAGCCGACCUGAGAGGGUGAUCGGCCACACUGGAACUGAGACACGGUCCAGACUCCUACGGGAGGCAGCAGUAGGGAAUCUUCCGCAAUGGGCGAAAGCCUGACGGAGCAACGCCGCGUGAGUGAUGAAGGUCUUCGGAUCGUAAAACUCUGUUAUUAGGGAAGAACAAAUGUGUAAGUAACUAUGCACGUCUUGACGGUACCUAAUCAGAAAGCCACGGCUAACUACGUG